rnacentral:lncRNA from 1 species
UUGAGUCUCGCGCCAUAUUUAAUUCAUAGAGUUUAGAGAAAGGAGAAGAGUGACUUUGCAUGCAUCGUUUUCUACAUCCACCACGCAAGUCCAAUGAAAGGAUGGAUGCUACAUUUAUUGCCUUGAAAAUUGCAUAUGUGAGAAAUAUUUCAUUGGCUAGUUUAAACUAGUGUCAUCCACACACAAUUCACCUUGAUUGAUGAGAUUUCAGAUUUGAGCCCUAUAAACCGAAAAUGAUGGAGUAUACUAGUGGUACACAAAGCCCAACUGCUUGACCAGCGAGCUAGCUACGCCGUCGUACGUACUACCUCCGUCCAAGUGUAUAGGAC